rnacentral:rRNA from 1 species
GACGUAGGGCGCGAGCGUUGUCCGGAUUUAUUGGGCGUAAAGAGCUCGUAGGCGGCUUGUCGCGUCGACUGUGAAAUCCCGCGGCUCAACUGCGGGUCUGCAGUCGAUACGGGCAGGCUAGAGUUCGGUAGGGGAGACUGGAAUUCCUGGUGUAGCGGUGAAAUGCGCAGAUAUCAGGAGGAACACCGAUGGCGAAGGCAGGUCUCUGGGCCGAUACUGACGCUCAUGCACGAAAGCGUGGGGAGCAAACAGG